GCCAAAUGAGUCUAGCCGCCAUUCUAAUUACAAACAAAAAACAGCCUGUCAACUUGUAGUCUACAGUAAAAGUCAGUUACUUAUCCCAUGUUGGUAACUUCACACUGGCCUACCCACACAGUUAACUGCCAAUCAUGUUCCUGUGAACUUUUGUGCUGAAGUUGGCCUGACGACGAAAGAGGGAUUUCUGUUCCACCCUGGGUCCACUGAGCAGUUUGCCGCUUAGACUAACUACAUGAGAUGAUUACUGAGACCCUUCAUCAAACUCCCCGAGGCCCUCCUGUCCACAAGCACAGAGCUGCAGGAAAUGACCAAUUCUCACAGCUCAAUGGGAGGGCGUGUGGGUAAGUAAGCCAAACAAGCAUGGUGCCUCCAAGGAAAAUCCAUUUGUGUUCAACAACGCUGAAGGCGGGCCACUUGAAGGACACUAAUUGCAUGCGAGACCAAUGCUGAUAUGAUUCAAAGGGAGGCCUUGCGUAUCAGAGCAUCGGAAAGGGGGGAAAAAAACAGAAGGGUGGAGGCACGAGAAGGCCCGGAAGCAAAGAUCACAAAAACAUGUGCUCUGGGUCAGGUUGCUGCUGAUGUCUAGGGCUUGCUGGUAUACCUGAGUCAUGUCGUCCAGGUCACCCAGCAGGGAGAAGCUACUGUUGUCCCCCGGGGAGCCCUGGGGGCUGCGGCCGAACUUGGCCCCGGGGAGAGGCGGC